CCGAUAGCUGACGUGCGGAGGACAUUA
rnacentral:rRNA from 1 species